rnacentral:lncRNA from 1 species
CCUGGGUGCACCACACUGCGGGAGCCUCCAAGUGUUCACCUAUCCAGAAGCUCCUCUGAAGGCUCUCCUUUUGGGUUGUUAUGGAGCCUUCAUUACAUAUGCAUGAUUGCUUAUAUUACUGGUCAUUGGUUACACUUUUAGAUAGGCUAAGUGGGUUUUUUGUUUGUUUGUUUGUUUUUGGUGAGACGAAGUCUCACUCUGUCACCCAGGCUGGAGUGCAAUGGCGCGAUCUCGGCUCAUUGCAACCUCCGCCUCCCGGGUUCAGGCCCCGCCCCUGCCCCGCCCAUCCUAUGCUCUCAGUCACUCCCGGCCUUUCCGCCCGCAACCCGCCCCUUUGCCCCGGUCCGCCCAGGCCCCGCCCCCAGCCGCCGGCGCCGUUUACUGCGCGGGCAGUUUCUUGCAAACCCGGAAGCAGAUCUCUUGGAGUGAAGGCUGUUCCUCGCCGCGUAGAACCCUGGAAGAAGAGGAAGAGGAAAGCAGCAAAGGAGUCAGAUGGCUCUUCCGCAGUUAGGUGACCUCGUGUCAAUUUACUUUUGGUGCUGUUUAGGCAGAACAACUCAAACACCAUGUUUCCCUCUGCUCUCCCACCAACACCACAAUCCACACAGAAGACUUCUGUGGCCACAUGCGAGGGAUUUCUCCCCACCAACAAACAGCGAGCAACCAGUUCAGUUCCAACACUGUCUGCAUGAAGAUAGUGUCAGAUCUCACAGAUUGAUGGCUCAGUUCCCAGUUGCACGUCCAGGCCUCUGAAACUUCUGACCGACCAACCUCAAGUCGAGGUUCCCAUGAACCCUUCUUUAAUUUGCUGGAGCAACUCUUACAGGUCAGAGAAACACUGAGUUUUACAGGUUGAUUAUAAAUACUAUUACAGAAGAUACCAGUGAAGAGAUGCAGAAGGUGAGGUAUGGGGAAAGGGGUGCGGAGCUUCCCUGCCCUCCCUGGGUAUGCCGUCCUCCAGGAACCUCCACGUGUCAGCCAUUUGGAAGCUCCCUGAACCCACUGCACUCCAGCCUGGGUGACAAAGCAAAACUCCAUCUCCAAAAAAACAACAAAAAGAAAUUUACAUAUUUCUACAAAAGUCAUAGCCACUUUUAUCUUUAUUUUCUCUUUUGAUUCUACCCAAAUUUCCAGUGACAAAGUCCCGAAUUCAGUGCUGAAAUUAGGCUUUGACAUGUGCUUUCUUCUAUAAGUGUGACAUUGUAAUAAAAGAAGUGAUUUGUUGUCCUUGAUAAUCUCAUUUGGCUCCUGUGUAGUUCUUUGAGAUAAUUCCCUUGCCAGCUGGUUGUUUUACAAAUGUGUGCAAACUAUAUCAUACUACUUUAUGCAAACUAUAUUAUACUACUUUAUGCAAACUAUAUUAUACUACUUUAUGCAAAGAGACAGACACUACUUUUUACUAUAUCUUUCUAGGACUUUUUAUUCUGUUUUCAGUUUAAAUUUGCUUACCCCUGAGAUUUUAAAGUCUCUUUCUUCAUAAAACACUAUUUGAACUGGAAUAUAUUAACACAUUCUGUGGCCAGUUUUGCUCGACAUCAUUUUACCCUUCAUUCUCCGACAUUCUCUUAUUUCUUGUACUUCUUUAUUUAUUUGCAUUUGUUUAUUUUUCCUUUUAUUAUUACUUUUACUUUUUUGUAGAAACAAAGUCUUGCUAUGUUGCCCAGGCUGGUCUCAAACUCCUGGGUUCAAACAAUCUGCCUGCCUUGGCCCCCCAAAGUGCUGGGACUACAGGCAUGAACCACCAUGCCCGGCCAACUUCUUUAGUUUUUAAACCUCAUUUUCAGAGUAGUUGAGAGGAUUUCAGCCACAGUGUAGCAUCUUAAAGACUGGGAAAAUUCUUUCCUAACCAGUUUAAUGACCAAGAAACUAUUCAGACCAAUCUACAUGUCAGUCAUUCACAGUAGAAUGGUAAACCAAAGAGCUGUGGGCAGCUGCUGAUACAUGUUGCACAAAAGGAUGUUGGGAAUCUCUUAGACAUUGGUACACGUUGUUACAUCAAUGAAUUCUUCCAAAAGGACCUCCCUUUCAGGACCUUGGACAGAUACACGGACUCCUUUGUGCUGAUCUCAAGACACUGAGAUUCUAAAACGAAAACUCUGAAGGCGCUUGACUAUAUAGCCUUCCUUAAUGCUUUAGCAUUCCAAACCGCCUACUUACUCUCUUUGGAAGAUUAUUCAGGGCUUUGUGAGCUGCUCUUUCAGGUAGCUUGCCUGUUGCUUAACUGAUUGCUUAGGUUUAAUUUUAAUUCCUAGACACCUGGGUACCGGUACUUGCUCUGUCAUUUUUAGCUCUUUGACCUGAGACAAGUUUCUCAGCAUGUCUGUGAAACAGCUGUCCCCACAGUAAAAUGGGAGCAGAUCUUUCUCUCCUGGGCUACAGUGUUGUACGUAUUUGUAUACAUAAAGGAUUUCAAAUGCUACCUCGCAUACGGACCUUGUUCUUAAAUCCCUAGCAUUGCUAUUGCUCUCAUCAUAGUUUUAAGGCUCCGACUUGUUUUUUCUUCAAAGCCACUGUGGAUGUUGUCACCCUUGAAGACACCACUCAUUCUCUAGGUCAUCUAGAUGCUGAAUAUUACUUGAUGUAUCAGACAUAAUAUCUAUCCA